UCAGGCCCGAAGUUCUUUAGGAGAGUGCAUAUUUCGUGAACUCAGUGUUGUUGCCGGUGCAGUCACAAUUACUUGCCUCAUGGUGGCUAAUCUUGUUGGCUUUGUGAUUGGACCAAGAGGCAUUAACUGGUUGCUUUCUUCUUUCCUUCACAAGGAAGGUGACUGACUAUACAAGAGAUCUUGAAGAAAUGCAGAAUGUGUCUAGAGAAGAGUACCUUGCAUCUUUAUGAAGGAAGAGCAGUGGCUUUUCAAGAGGACUCUCCAAAUAUCAUGGACUCUCCUGGUGUGAAUCUAUCAAUUCAUUUUUUUACAAAAAUUGUUGGAAUUAUUUUUUGAA